rnacentral:rRNA from 1 species
GACGAACCGAGCGAACGUUGUUCGGAAUCACUGGGCUUAAAGGGCGCGUAGGCGGGCAUCAAAGUCUGUGGUGAAAUCCGGCAGCUUAACUGUCGAAUUGCCGUGGAUACUGGGUGUCUCGAGGGAGGCAGGGGUGCGCGGAACUAAUGGUGGAGCGGUGAAAUGCGUUGAUAUCAUUAGGAACUCCGGUGGCGAAGGCGGCGCACUGGUCCUCUUCUGACGCUGAGGCGCGAAAGCCAGGGGAGCAAACGGG